UGGGGAAUUUUGUACAAUGGGGGAAACCCUGAUCCAGCCAUCCCGCGUGUGCGAUGAAGGCCUUCGGGUUGUAAAGCACUUUUGUCAGGAAAGAAACGUCAUGGGUUAAUACCCCGUGAAACUGACGGUACCUGCAGAAUAAGCACCGGCUAACUACGUGCCAGCAGCCGCGGUAAUACGUAGGGUGCAAGCGUUAAUCGGAAUUACUGGGCGUAAAGCGUGCGCAGGCGGUUCGGAAAGAAAGAUGUGAAAUCCCAGAGCUCAACUUUGGAACUGCAUUUUUAACUACCGGGCUAGAGUGUGUCAGAGAGAGGUGGAAUUCCGCGUGUAGCAGUGAAAUGCGUAGAUAUGCGGAGGAACACCGGUGGCGAAGGCAGCCUCCUGGGAUAACACUGACGCUCAUGCAAGAAAGCGUGGGGAGCAAACAGG
rnacentral:rRNA from 1 species